GACAAGGGUUUCAGGAACACACUUAAAAUCAUUAAAUGAGACAUAGACUUUACCCUGAUUCCUAUGAUCACCUCAGUAAAGAAAAGUGUUCACAGCAAGAAUAAGGUAACCCCUGCUGCAGCCAUUUCAAAAUAUGUCAAAGAAAUAAGAGAUGAAGAUAAAGAAGAAGGAAAUGAAUCCAGCAAAUUUGAGAAUGAAUGGUUAUAGACUAUCAAGAACAUGAGUGUUUAUCACCCAAGGAAUUUGCAUCCUCUUCUGAUAAAAAGGGUCUUGCUCGGUCACCUAGGCUGAGGUGCAGUGGCACAGUGACAGUUCACUAUAACCUUGAACACCUGGGUUCAAGUGAUCUUCCUGCCUUGGCCUUCCAGAGGGCUUGGAUUACAGAGUCUUCCUGUUUACUCACUAUGGACCCAACCUCUCGGUGA
rnacentral:lncRNA from 1 species